CUCGGCAUCAAGAGGAGUCUAUAUGCGCCUUACCAUCCCCAGACCAACGGUUUGGUGGAGAGGCUGAAUGGAACAAUACAGAGAGCUCUGACAAAACCGGUGAGAGAUAAAACCAACAACUGGGAUCCAGUGAUGUUGGGUCUGAGAACAAAUAAGCAGCUAACAACACGCUUCUCUCCUUAUUACCUGAUGUUUGGCAGAGAAGCGCGUUAUCCAUCUGAGGUUGAUGGGGCCUUUGAAGUGGCUUUUUUCCAGAGGAAGAGGUGGCCGUGGAUAUACAGCGACAGGAGGACAUCCUAAACAUUGUCCAGGGAAACCAGGAGAAAGUUCAGAAAAGAACAAGGGCAAGAAUGCAAACCCAUA